rnacentral:rRNA from 1 species
AACGAACGCUGGCGGCGUGCUUAACACAUGCAAGUCGAACGCGAAAGGGACUUCGGUCCCGAGUAGAGUGGCGCACGGGUGAGUAACGCGUAAGUAAUCUACCCCCGCAUUCGGAAUAACUCGUCGAAAGGUGAGCUAAUACCGGAUACGUUUAUCUUGAUGCGAAUGAUGAUAAAGAAAGGUGGCCUCUUCAUGAAAGCUACUGUGCAGGGAUGAGCUUGCGUACCAUUAGCUAGUUGGUAGGGUAAUGGCCUACCAAGGCGACGAUGGUUAGCGGGUCUGAGAGGAUGAUCCGCCACACUGGAACUGGAACACGGACCAGACUCCUACGGGAGGCAG